UGGGGAAUAUUGGACAAUGGGCGAAAGCCUGAUCCAGCCAUGCCGCGUGUGUGAAGAAGGCCUUUUGGUUGUAAAGCACUUUAAGUGGGGAGGAAAAGCUUGUGGUUAAUACCCACAAGCCCUGACGUUACCCACAGAAUAAGCACCGGCUAACUCUGUGCCAGCAGCCGCGGUAAUACAGAGGGUGCAAGCGUUAAUCGGAAUUACUGGGCGUAAAGCGCGCGUAGGUGGUUAUUUAAGUCAGAUGUGAAAGCCCCGGGCUUAACCUGGGAACUGCAUCUGAUACUGGAUAACUAGAGUAGGUGAGAGGGGAGUAGAAUUCCAGGUGUAGCGGUGAAAUGCGUAGAGAUCUGGAGGAAUACCGAUGGCGAAGGCAGCUCCCUGGCAUCAUACUGACACUGAGGUGCGAAAGCGUGGGUAGCAAACAGGAUUAGAUACCCUGGUAGUCCACGCCGUAAACGAUGUCUACCAGUCGUUGGGUCUUUUAAAGACUUAGUGACGCAGUUAACGCAAUAAGUAGACCGCCUGGGGAGUACGGCCGCAAGGUUA
rnacentral:rRNA from 1 species